CCUACGGGUGGCAGCAGUGAGGAAUAUUGGUCAAUGGACGAGAGUCUGAACCAGCCAAGUCGCGUGAAGGAUGACUGCCCUAUGGGUUGUAAACUUCUUUUAUAUGGGAAUAAAACGUUCCACGUGUGGGAUUUUGUAUGUACCAUAUGAAUAAGGAUCGGCUAACUCCGUGCCAGCAGCCGCGGUAAUACGGAGGAUCCGAGCGUUAUCCGGAUUUAUUGGGUUUAAAGGGAGCGUAGGUGGAUUGUUAAGUCAGUUGUGAAAGUGUGCGGCUCAACCGUAAAAUUGCAGUUGAAACUGGCAGUCUUGAGUACAGAAGAGGUAGGCGGAAUGCGUAGUGUAGCGGUGAAAUGCAUAGAUAUCACGAAGAACUCCGAUUGCGAAGGCAGUUCACUGGACUGCAACUGACACUGAGGCUCGAAAGUGUGGGUAUCAAACAGGAUUAGAUACCCUUGUAGUC
rnacentral:rRNA from 1 species